GUGGGGAAUAUUGGACAAUGGGCGGAAGCCUGAUCCAGCCAUGCCGCGUGUGUGAAGAAGGCCUUUUGGUUGUAAAGCACUUUAAGCGAGGAGGAGGCUCCUUUAGUUAAUACCUAAAGAGAGUGGACGUUACUCGCAGAAUAAGCACCGACUAACUCUGUGCCAGCAGCCGCGGUAAUACAGAGGGUGCGAGCGUUAAUCGGAUUUACUGGGCGUAAAGCGUGCGUAGGCGGCUUUUUAAGUCGGAUGUGAAAUCCCUGAGCUUAACUUAGGAAUUGCAUUCGAUACUGGGAGGCUAGAGUAUGGGAGAGGAUGGUAGAAUUCCAGGUGUAGCGGUGAAAUGCGUAGAGAUCUGGAGGAAUACCGAUGGCGAAGGCAGCCAUCUGGCCUAAUACUGACACUGAGGUGCGAAAGCAUGGGGAGCAAACAGGAUUAGAAACCCUGGUAGUCC
rnacentral:rRNA from 1 species